CUCCGGCCUGGAUAUAGAGUGAGACUCCAUCUCAAAACAACAACAAACCACUUGCCUGGUAGACAACCAAGAUACCAUUUAGUCCAAUCUUUUCAUGGAGAUGGGGGCUCCAGAGAGUACCUCCUAAUGUCGCAGGUUCUUAGUUGGCUGUGCAUUUCUGAAUGAUUCUAGAUUUCUGUGGAAACAAGGAAUCAAUGUACAAAUGUGGUGGAGUGGCAAGGAAAACUCUUAAGAGACAUCAAGGUUUUUACAUUAGGUUAAAGACCAAGAGGGUUUCCAGGCAGGUAGUGUAAUGUCUAGGUGAUUUUGAAGUGAAUUUAAAACCACUAGGUUUGAGGGACAAAGGACCAAAGGACAGAAAAUGUGAAGACUGCAGAUCUCCUGCUCCACCUCAGGGAGCAGCAGCCCCAGAAGAAUAUGGCCCCCAAAAGAGUUUAAUUUCAGGCAGAUCCAAGAAUUGUGUAAAGGUUGCAUCUUUGGUCCUCUUGCACAUUUUUUUUUUCUGGUAAUCGAAUCUGAAGGGACACCUCAGCAAGCAGACUUGGGUUAUUUUCCAGUUGGAUGGGAAUGGAAAGCAGUGCUUGAGACUGGAUGUUGUGGUUAACCUAAAUCCAGCUGGUAAUGUUUCUGAAGACCCAGGCAUCAUGCUGAUUCCAUGUACUUCACGAGGAGGAAACUGCCUUCUCCAGGUUGAUCCACGUCUGAAGUUCUUGUCAUCACUCUGCCAGUACAGUUAUAACGUGAUGUUACAAAAACAAGUAAACUAGUCCGUGUGCAUAAAGCUGUGUAAUUACAAACAUGUAACACAGAUUAUUUACAUUUAGUCUGUCAAGUAUACAUGUGGAAUCAUGCUUUAUCAAGAUAGUUCUAUGAUUCCAAAACAAGACUGUACGUGAUUUGAUAUAUAAAUUUUUAAAUAAAAAUUUUCAUACAGUUUCAAAUUUAAGGUCUGACAUCUAUACAGUAAAUAUCUUUGAAAGCCUAAAAUAAGCCACCAAUUUUUUCCAAAAUAAAUACUGGAUAUACUAUGUUCCACUUAUGCACAGUUUAAAGACAAAGAGUCACAUCUCAUUUAAUUGGCUCAGUAGACUUUUCUUCAAGUUCACUACUAUCAAGAAGCUACCCCACACCCGUUCAGCUCCUAAGAGAAAGUAGCAAUAUGACAAGUCUUCAAUAAUUUUUACUGUAAUUUUUUGCAACUUUUAAGUAAGAAUAAUUGUGUUUUAAGAUGUAUGAGUUUAAAAGAAG